rnacentral:misc_RNA from 1 species
GGUAGUAAAAGUCGUAACAAGGUUUCCGUAGGUGAACCUGCGGAAGGAUCAUUAUUGUAUAACCGAGGUGCGAGGGCUGUCGCUGACCCGAAAGGUCGUGCACGCCCGAGUGCCCUCACACACAUCCAUCUCACCCCUAUGUGCACCACCGCGUGGGUCCCCCUUUGGCUUGUUCGGAGGGGGGCUUACGUUUUCACACAAACUUUAUAUGCAGUGUAGAAUGUAUUUUUUGUUUUUGCGAUCACGCAAUCAAUACAACUUUCAACAACGGAUCUCUUGGCUCUC